rnacentral:rRNA from 1 species
CAGCCGCCGCGGUAAUACGGAGGGAGCUAGCGUUAUUCGGAAUUACUGGGCGUAAAGCGCACGUAGGCGGCUUUGUAAGUUAGAGGUGAAAGCCUGGAGCUCAACUCCAGAAUUGCCUUUAAGACUGCAUCGCUUGAAUCCAGGAGAGGUGAGUGGAAUUCCGAGUGUAGAGGUGAAAUUCGUAGAUAUUCGGAAGAACACCAGUGGCGAAGGCGGCUCACUGGACUGGUAUUGACGCUGAGGUGCGAAAGCGUGGGGAGCAAACAGGAUUAGAUACCCGAGUAGUCCCUGUCUCUUAUAC